UGGGGGUCGUGCUGGCCUCCGGCGUGGUGGUGGUCGACUCCUGGAAGGGGGACAAGGUCCAGGACGGCGCCGAGUCGUGGACGUAGAUCUUGUAGGAGGAGAUACCUAGACUAUUGUCUCUUCAAGAACUCCCUCUGGAGCUUGGCUGCUCCUCUAAGAUAGUUCUGUGCUAACAACCAUCAGGAAGAUCUGUGGAAGUGGUUUAUCAGUGAACAGGAAAGAGGAUUAGGAGAAAGCCCUUAGAAAGUGCACAUCCACAAAUGGAUGCCAAACAAAUGAGAAAGAUGGGGAAGUCUUGCAAACCCAGAAAUCUGUACUAUCUCCUUGAGGACAUCUGUGACUGGAGCGGAUUAAAAUUACUUAUCUAGGAUGGAGUCAGAAGUGGUAUUUUCCUAAGGACGGGAGUGACACAGCGUGUAACAGGUACACCAUUUAUGCAGGUAUCCCUUUGUUUGUCACGGGGGUUCUGCUCUGGCUGUCAGUAGGCAUGGCCCAGCUAAUGGUUGUGCUAAGGGCUGCUGUUCCUGCUUGGCUUCACACAUGCCUACAGCCACUAUUUCACAUAAUGAAAGGUAAUGGGUGAGUUAAAGGAGUUAGAUUAUUCCUUAACUGUUAUCAUGGCAUCAGAUAUAAAAACCUCAGGAUAACUAUCCUUGGAAGAGCCAGCAAAAGAAGCAGAAAUUCAAAUUUGGAAAAUUGGAGCUAUGAAAUGGAGUUACAUCCAUUUCAGCAUGUAAACAAUAUGCAUGUGGGAUGCUUAUAUCCCAGUCCUGCAUACACACAGAGUUAAAAGCCCUUCUUUCCUCCCCAGCUUUACAAAACACUGAAGACCUUCCUUGUUAUCUCAUGUAUCAUCUGAAGUUUUAAGCAACAAAACCUCCACAGUUACUUUUCUUUAUGGUGUAAUCAGCUCCUGAGAGCAAAACCAGUCUAGAAAUUGAGUUGCUUCAGUACCCACCUCACCUGCUGUGUUCUGGUACGUCAGCAGGUGGAUGUGGUGAAUAAAACAGAAUUUCCCAAAGGAUGCCUGAAUUAGGGCUGGUUAUAUAAAUAGGUGUUACGCUGCUUCCCAAAC